AUUGAACGCUGGCGGCAGGCCUAACACAUGCAAGUCGAGCGUGCGGCGGAAGGGUGAGUAAUGUAUGGGGACUGCCCGAUAGAGGGGGAUAACUACUGGAAACGGUGGCUAAUACCGCAUACUAUCGGAUAACCCAUAUGGGAUUAGCUAGUAGGUGGGGUAAACGCUCACCUAGGUGGCGAUUUCUAGCUGGUCUGAGAGGAUGAUCAGCCACACUGGGACGUGGACACGGCCCUUGCGCCUGCGGAGGCAGCAGAGGGAAAUAUUGCACAAUGGGCGCAAGCCUGGUGCAACCAUGCGGCGUGUAUGAAGGAGACCUUGGGUUGGUAAAGUACUUUCAGCGGGGAGGCGUUACCCGCAGAAGAAGCACCGGCUAACUCCGUGCCAGCAGCCGCGGUAAUAC
rnacentral:rRNA from 1 species